GGGCGACUACCUGUUCGAUGGAUGGCGAUAGAAUCUAUAAAUUACAGCGUAUAUACAACGAAGAGUGAUGUGUGGUCGUUUGGGAUUUUAUUGUGGGAGAUUGUUACACUGGGCGGUACUCCAUAUCCAGGCAUGACGUGUGCU